rnacentral:rRNA from 1 species
ACCGCAUACGAUCUACGGAUGAAAGCGGGGGAUCUUCGGACCUCGCGCGGACGGACCGGCCGAUGGCAGAUUAGGUAGUUGGUGGGGUAAAGGCUCACCAAGCCGACGAUCUGUAGCUGGUCUGAGAGGAUGAUCAGCCACACUGGGACUGAGACACGGCCCAGACUCCUACGGGAGGCAGCAGUGGGGAAUUUUGGACAAUGGGGGCAACCCUGAUCCAGCCAUGCCGCGUGCAGGAUGAAGGCCUUCGGGUUGUAAACUGCUUUUGUACGGAACGAAAAGCUCUCCUCUAAUAAAGGGGGGUCAUGACGGUACCGUAAGAAUAAGCACCGGCUAACUACGUGCCAGCAGCCGCGGUAAUACGUA